rnacentral:rRNA from 1 species
AGAGUUCCCUUCUGGCUCAGGAUGAACGCUAGCGACAGGCUUAACACAUGCAAGUCGAGGGGCAGCAUGAUUUGUAGCAAUACAGAUUGAUGGCGACCGGCGCACGGGUGAGUAACGCGUAUGCAACUUACCUAUCAGAGGGGGAUAGCCCGGCGAAAGUCGGAUUAAUACCCCAUAAAACAGGGGUCCCGCAUGGGAAUAUUUGUUAAAGAUUCAUCGCUGAUAGAUAGGCAUGCGUUCCAUUAGGCAGUUGGCGGGGUAACGGCCCACCAAACCGACGAUGGAUAGGGGUUCUGAGAGGAAGGUCCCCCACAUUGGUACUGAGACACGGACCAAACUCCUACGGGAGGCAGCAGUGAGGAAUAUUGGUCAAUGGCCGAGAGGCUGAACCAGCCAAGUCGCGUGAAGGAGGAAGGAUAAAUAAAUUGUAAACUUCUUUUAUAGGGGAAUAAAGUGGAGGACGUGUCCUUUUUUGUAUGUACCCUAUGAAUAAGCAUCGGCUAACUCCGUGCCAGCAGCCGCGGUAAUACGGAGGAUGCGAGCGUUAUCCGGAUUUAUUGGGUUUAAAGGGUGCGUAGGUGGUGAUUUAAGUCAGCGGUGAAAGUUUGUGGCUCAACCAUAAAAUUGCCGUUGAAACUGGGUUACUUGAGUGUGUUUGAGGUAGGCGGAAUGCGUGGUGUAGCGGUGAAAUGCAUAGACAUCACGCAGAACUCCGAUUGCGAAGGCAGCUUACUAAACCAUAACUGACACUGAAGCACGAAAGCGUGGGGAUCAAACAGGAUUAGAUACCCUGGUAGUCCACGCAGUAAACGAU